CUACGGGCUGCAGCAGUGAGGAAUAUUGCACAAUGGGGGGAACCCUGAUGCAGCAACGCCGCGUGGAGGAUGACGCAUUUCGGUGUGUAAACUCCUUUUAUAUGUCAAGAAAAUGACGGUAGCAUAUGAAUAAGCACCGGCUAACUCCGUGCCAGCAGCCGCGGUAAGACGGAGGGUGCAAGCGUUACUCGGAAUCACUGGGCGUAAAGGACGCGUAGGCGGGUUGGAAAGUCAGGUGUGAAAUCCUACAGCUUAACUGUAGAACUGCACUUGAAACUUCUAAUCUAGAGUAUGGGAGGGGGAGAUGGAAUUAGUGGUGUAGGGGUAAAAUCCGUAGAUAUCACUAGGAAUACCUAAAGCGAAGGCGAUCUCCUGGAACAUUACUGACGCUAAGGCGUGAAAGCGUGGGGAGCAAGCAGGAUUAGAUACCCCAGUAGUC
rnacentral:rRNA from 1 species